CCUACGGGUGGCAGCAGUGAGGAAUAUUCGUCAAUGGUCGGGAGACUGAACCAGCCAAGCCGCGUGCGGGAUGAAGGUACAGAGUAUCGUAAACCUCUUUUGUCAGGAAACAAAUGCGGGGACGUGUCCCCUGAUGAGUGUACCGUAAGAAAAAGCAUCGGCUAACUCCGUGCCAGCAGCCGCGGUAAUACGGAGGAUGCGAGCUUUAUCCGGUUUUAUUGGGUUUAAAGGGUGCGCAGGCGGUCUGUUAAGUCAGCGGUCAAAGCCCGGGGCUCAACCCCGGCCCGCCGUUGAAACUGGCAGUCUAGAGUUGGAGAGAAGUAUGCGGAAUGCGCGGUGUAGCGGUGAAAUGCAUAGAUAUCACGCAGAACUCCGAUGGCGAAGGCAGCAUACCGGCGCCCGACUGACGCUGAAGCACGAAAGCGUGGGUAUCGAACAGGAUUAGAUACCCGUGUAGUC
rnacentral:rRNA from 1 species